rnacentral:rRNA from 1 species
GGUUAAGUUAGAAAGGGCGCACGGUGGAUGCCUUGGCACUAGGAGCCGAUGAAGGACGGGACGAACACCGAUAUGCUUCGGGGAGCUGUAAGCAAGCUUUGAUCCGGAGAUUUCCGAAUGGGGAAACCCACUGCUCGUAAUGGAGCAGUAUCCAUAUCUGAAUUCAUAGGAUAUGUGAAGGCAGACCCGGGGAACUG